rnacentral:lncRNA from 1 species
UUUUUUGUUUUUGUUUUGACAUUACUAAUACUGUAUUGUAUGAGCAAGCUGUUAAGCUCUGAUUGUGUAUGAAGCUGUGACUACCAAUCAGUUUGAUAUUCAAGGAAAGCAUGGAGAUUAUUCAAGAAAAAAUUGAAAAUUCUGUUUUAGACCUGAAUACUGGAUAGGUCAAAAAGAUUUCAGCGGUUCAAACUGCCCUGUGACUUUUUUCCUUUUUAAAAAUUUUUCUUGUUUGUUAGUCUCUGUUGUAAAGACUGUCUACCCCCAAAAGCAGAAUAACCAUUUACUGAACUGUGUGUUUCUUACUACUUUGACCGGUUUAAUCAAAUCAUAUAACUAUUCUAAGCUGCAUAAUGGAAUAUUGAAAGAUUUUACUCAGUUAGAAAUUAAAGUCCCAGGAUGGUACUGACCUGCCAGUAGUUUAAAGAAUGAGAUAGUGCUUCUCGAUGUGGGGGUGAAAAUCUCCAACUCUGGCCUCCAGAGGCAGGCGCGGCAGGUGGGUCUCGGCUCUCGUCCAUCCAGGACUCUACCUCUCUCUAGUGUCUGUCUAAGAAAAAAAGAUGAAACCAUUAACUGUCUUAAAUGGUAUAAAAGAAAAACUCAAACAUUCAUUUGGGGAAUUUGUUUACAAUAUUUAUCAUUUUUCUUUUACUUACCCCCAAGUACAGUUUAGAAUUCACAGAGGAAAAGGAUUUUUUGAGAUAAAGUGAAAAGUGGUUGAAGAAAAUAAAUGCAUAAUUUCUCGGUGAAUAAAGUUGUAGCUGUCAUACAUUAAAUAGGUAAAGUUACAUGCUGGUAUCUAGAAAACAGCUCAAAUAUGAAAAAACCAUGUUGCAUUAAUCUGUUUUAAGUCAGAUCAUUUCUACAGUUUUAUGUAGGCUGGUGGUUGAUUUUUCUUCUUAGGGAUAGUUUACAAUAGUAACAACUGUCCCUUACAUUAGUGAGUUACGUAUGUACAAAUUGAAACUGUAAAUUGUGAACACUGGAAAAGCACCAUUGUGACAUAAACAUCGUAGAAAUAUAUUUAAAAUGAAUGUAAAUGGAAGUUAAAUUACAUUACUGUGAAGCUUCACCUUCCACCUCUGAAGUGUCUGAGAUUUGUGUUCGUGGGUAAUUCCUAAGAGCUUUGGAAACACUGCACAGUCCGUGUAACCCGAGUUAUUAUUUCUUUGUAACUUAUUACUCAGCUUGGCGAGCGCUUUUGAUUUGAUGGAUUGAUAACAUGGUAUAAUAUAUUUACUUAGUUGGAAACAAUUAUUUCUACAUACUUUUUUUUCUAAAUAUCUGCUAGAUGAAACAUACAAUAAAACUACCUGUACUAACAUUUGGGAGAGCUUUAGAAAGUAUUAAUAAUUGUCGGCUACAUCUAUGAUAAAAGUGUUUAUUCUGGGUUACUUAGAAAUGACAAACAUUUAAAGUGUUAACAUCUUAUGAAUGCAGUGGAUCAAUAGAAUAAACAUUUUGCAAAAAAAAAUUGAAAAUAUAGG